ACGCUGGCGGCGUGCCUAAUACAUGCAAGUCGAGCGAACGGACGAGAAGCUUGCUUCUCUGAUGUUAGCGGCGGACGGGUGAGUAACACGUGGAUAACCUACCUAUAAGACUGGGAUAACUUCGGGAAACCGGAGCUAAUACCAGAUAAUAUUUUGAACCGCAUGGUUCAAAAGUGAAAGACGGUCUUGCUGUCACUUAUAGAUGGAUCCGCGCUGCAUUAGCUAGUUGGUAAGGUAACGGCUUACCAAGGCAACGAUGCAUAGCCGACCUGAGAGGGUGAUCGGCCACACUGGAACUGAGACACGGUCCAGACUCCUACGGGAGGCAGCAGUAGGGAAUCUUCCGCAAUGGGCGAAAGCCUGACGGAGCAACGCCGCGUGAGUGAUGAAGGUCUUCGGAUCGUAAAACUCUGUUAUUAGGGAAGAACAUAUGUGUAAGUAACUGUGCACAUCUUGACAGUACCUAAUCAGAAAGCCACGGCUAACUACGUGCCAGCAGCCGCGGUAAUACGUAGGUGGCAAGCGUUAUCCGGAAUUAUUGGGCGUAAAGCGCGCGUAGGCGGUUUUUUAAGUCUGAUGUGAAAGCCCACGGCUCAACCGUGGAGGGUCAUUGGAAACUGGAAAACUUGAGUGCAGAAGAGGAAAGUGGAAUUCCAUGUGUAGCGGUGAAAUGCGCAGAGAUAUGGAGGAACACCAGUGGCGAAGGCGACUUUCUGGUCUGUAACUGACGCUGAUGUGCGAAAGCG
rnacentral:rRNA from 1 species